rnacentral:lncRNA from 1 species
AGGAGGACGCCAAGAUGAUCGCUCGACAGCUCCUGGACGCCCUCGCGUACAUGCACCUCAACAAUGUCACGCACCGGGACCUCAAGCUCGAGAACCUCCUGCUCGCCAGGCCGAACGACAUAUCCUCCGUGGUCAUCGCCGAUUUUGGCUUGGCGAGAAACGCCAAAACCGCGAGGCAGGUUUUCCAGACGCAGUGCGGCACCCCGUCCUACGUCGCUCCCGAGAUUCUCCUCGGCAAGCCGUACACCCCCGCGGUGGACGUGUGGAGCAUGGGCGUGAUCCUAUACACCCUCCUCAUCGGUUCCUUCCC